UACGGAGGGUGCAAGCGUUAUCCGGAUUCACUGGGUUUAAAGGGUUCGUAGGUGGGUUGAUAAGUCAGUGGUGAAAUCCCCGAGCUUAACUUGGGAACUGCCAUUGAUACUAUUGAUCUUGAAUACCGUGGAGGUCAGCGGAAUAUGUCAUGUAGCGGUGAAAUGCUUAGAUAUGACAUAGAACACCAAUUGCGAAGGCAGCUGGCUACGCGAAUAUUGACACUGAUGCACGAAAGCGUGGGGAUCAAACAGG
rnacentral:rRNA from 1 species